GAUGAACGCUGGCGGCGUGCUUAACACAUGCAAGUCGAGCGAAGCACUAAAGCGGAUUUCUUCGGAUUGAAGGUUUAGUGACUGAGCGGCGGACGGGUGAGUAACGCGUGGGUAACCUGCCUCAUACAGGGGGAUAACAGUUGGAAACGGCUGCUAAUACCGCAUAAGCGCACAGUACCGCAUGGUACGGUGUGAAAAACUCCGGUGGUAUGAGAUGGACCCGCGUCUGAUUAGGUAGUUGGUGGGGUAACGGCCUACCAAGCCGACGAUCAGUAGCCGACCUGAGAGGGUGACCGGCCACAUUGGGACUGAGACACGGCCCAAACUCCUACGGGAGGCAGCAGUGGGGAAUAUUGCACAAUGGGGGAAACCCUGAUGCAGCGACGCCGCGUGAGCGAAGGAGUAUUUCAGUAUGUAAAGCUCUAUCAGCAGGGAAGAAAAUGACGGUACCKACUAAGAGCCCU
rnacentral:rRNA from 1 species